rnacentral:rRNA from 1 species
UACGAAGGACCCGAGCGUUAUCCGGAUUUAUUGGGUUUAAAGGGUGCGUAGGCGGAUUUAUAAGUCAGUGGUGAAAUCUCCCCGCUCAACGGGGAAACUGCCAUUGAAACUAUUUAUCUUGAGUACAUUUGAGGCGGGCGGAAUGUGUCAUGUAGAGGUGAAAUUCUUAGAUAUGACACAGAACACCAAUUGCGAAGGCAGCUCGCUAAACUGUAACUGACGCUGAGGCACGAAAGCGUGGGGAGCAAACAGG